CAUGUACUCAUCCCAUCCAACAAAAGAUGUCUCAAGUUUGUCAAAAUUUGGAUGUAUCUAAACAUGACUUAGUAUAUAGAUGCAUUCAAAUUUAAUCAGAGUUGAGACAUCUUUUGUUGGACGGAGAGAGCACUGA
rfam:Brachypodium distachyon strain Bd21 chromosome 4, whole genome shotgun sequence.